UAUUGCGCAAUGGGCGAAAGCCUGACGCAGCGACGCCGCGUGAGGGAUGAAGGUCUUCGGAUCGUAAACCUCUGUCUUUGGGGAAGAAAAUGACGGUACCCAAAGAGGACGCUCCGGCUAACUACGUGCCAGCAGCCGCGGUAAUACGUAGGGAGCGAGCGUUGUCCGGAAUUACUGGGUGUAAAGGGAGCGUAGGCGGGCGAGAAAGUUGAAUGUUAAAUCUACCGGCUUAACUGGUAGCUGCGCUCAAAACUUCUUGUCUUGAGUGAAGUAGAGGCAGGCGGAAUUCCUAGUGUAGCGGUGAAAUGCGUAGAUAUUAGGAGGAACACCAGUGGCGAAGGCGGCCUGCUGGGCUUUAACUGACGCUGAGGCUCGAAAGCGUGGGGAGCAAACAGG
rnacentral:rRNA from 1 species